GCUGGGCUGUGGCCCCGCGCUCUAUGCCCUGGGCCAGGCUGCUGCUGGAGAGGGGACGGGCCCCAUGUGGCUGAUGGAGUGCAGGGGGACGGAGCUGUCUCUGCAGGACUGCUGGGCCCAGCCAGGGGACAGCAGUGCCUGCCAGCAUAAGGCAGAUGCGGCUGUGCAUUGCUCAGGUGAGCAGUGGGGCUGGGAGACAUUGCUGAGGGCUUAGCAAGGAGCUGGCUUGGGCGUAUGUCCUGCUGGAUCCUGGCAUGGCCCUGGUACAGGCCUGAGCAAGGUUGUCCCUGCAGAGUGGGAGGCUGGUGGUGGGUGGGGAGCAGCCUCUGUGGGGCUGGAUGUCCCAGCACAUCCCCUGGGCUGCCUGCACUGUCCUGUGAGCAGCCCAGAGCAGUGGUGCCCUUGCCACCCUGCCCAGCCCCACAGGAGGGAAAAUUCAGGUGGCACAUGUUGGGGUCAUUUUCCAGGGAGGCUGCCUGGUGCCACAGCCCCAGCCUCUCAGCCCAGCUCUCCUUCUGCUCCCCUGCAGCUGCACCCAGGACAGCAAUACUCCCCCCACAAGCAGAUCCCCCACGGGGCCGUCCAACCACCAGCAGCGAGAGACUCUCGGUGCCUGUCGUCAUCUGCAUCAUCCUGGGGGCCCUCCUCUGCCUGCUCCUGGCCCUCCUGGCUGGGCAGGUGCGAAGUGCCAGGGCUCGGCGCAGAGGUGGGUCCUUCCCCAGUGGUCCUGGGGGGAGAUGCCUCUUGGCAGGGCUGGGGGUGUUGGUGUCCUGGGGUACAGAAACAGAGCUGUGUGCUGCCUCCUGCCCCAUGUGCUGGCCCACUGACUGACAGACCAUGGGGCACCAACAUCAAGGGGUGGAGAGAGCCCAGAGCCUGAGGCAUCCGUUCUGGGGUGAGAAGAGAAAUGUGAGAUCUGGGCUGGGUGAGACGGGGAGGAUGCACUGCUGGCAGUGCUCUGGGCAGCACUGGCAGGAGGAGCGUGGGGCAGCGGAGUCCAUCACUGUGGUGUCAGCCACCUCCCAACAGGACACGGGCUGUGCUAUUGCUGUGUGGGGCAGAGAUGGAGAAGAUCCAUGGGGAAGGGAAAUGAGGGAACUGGUGCAGGGUCUGCACUGGGACGUGACCCAGGGACCAAAGGGGAACAAGGGCUGUCUCCAAAGGGAUGGUGCGAGGCUGACUGCACCCCAGACCAUCUCCAUGGGGAUGCUGCCCUCCCUGGGGAUGUGGUUGCAGUGCCAACAC
rnacentral:lncRNA from 1 species